AGGAAUCUGCCUAUUAGUGGGGGACAACAUCUCGAAAGGGAUGCUAAUACCGCAUACGUCCUACGGGAGAAAGCAGGGGAUCACUUGUGACCUUGCGCUAAUAGAUGAGCCUAAGUCGGAUUAGCUAGUUGGUGGGGUAAAGGCCUACCAAGGCGACGAUCUGCAGCGGGUCUGAGAGGAUGAUCCGCCACACUGGGACUGAGACACGGCCCAGACUCCUACGGGAGGCAGCAGUGGGGAAUAUUGGACAAUGGGGGGAACCCUGAUCCAGCCAUGCCGCGUGUGUGAAGAAGGCCUUAUGGUUGUAAAGCACUUUAAGCGAGGAGGAGGCUCUUUUGGUUAAUACCCAGAAUGAGUGGACGUUACUCGCAGAAUAAGCACCGGCUAACUCUGUGCCAGCAGCCGCGGUAAUACAGAGGGUGCAAGCGUUAAUCGGAUUUACUGGGCGUAAAGCGCGCGUAGGCGGCCAAUUAAGUCAAAUGUGAAAUCCCCGAGCUUAACUUGGGAAUUGCAUUCGAUACUGGUUGGCUAGAGUGUGGGAGAGGAUGGUAGAAUUCCAGGU
rnacentral:rRNA from 1 species